AGUGCCCACUUUGUCAAUCUAUACUAAAACUGGAACAACUCAGAGAGGAUUAGCAUGGCCCCUGUGCAGGGAUGACAUGCGAGUUUGUGCAGCAUUCCAUAUUUUG
rnacentral:snRNA from 1 species